GAUGAAGAACGUAGCGAAAUGCGAUAAGUAAUGUGAAUUGCAGAAUUUAGUGAAUCAUCGAAUCUUUGAACGCACAUUGCGCCCGCCGGCACUCCGGCGGGCACGCCCGUCCGAGCGUCGCUUUACCACACUCGGGGUAUCCGCCACUGGGCGGAGCCCCCGGCCUUGGGCACCCGCGGUCACGCCCGUGGGCCCCGAAACACAGCGGCGGUGGCGCCUGUAGCGUCCUCUGCGUAGUACACGCUCGCACCGGACCUCUUGCGCGGCCAGCCCUGCGGCUCACCCCGCAGAACACACCAAAGGUUGACCUCGGAUCGGGCGGGGCUACCCGCUGAACUUAAGCAUAUCAAUAAGCGGAGGA
rnacentral:misc_RNA from 1 species